UACGUAGGGUGCGAGCGUUAAUCGGAAUUACUGGGCGUAAAGCGUGCGCAGGCGGUUUUGUAAGCCAGAUGUGAAAGCCCCGGGCUCAACCUGGGAAUGGCAUUUGGGACUGCAAGGCUGGAGUGCGGCAGAGGAGACUGGAAUUCCUGGUGUAGCAGUGAAAUGCAUAGAUAUCAGGAGGAAUACCGAUGGCGAAGGCAGGUCUCUGGGCUGACACUGACGCUCAUGCACGAAAGCGUGGGGAGCAAACGGG
rnacentral:rRNA from 1 species